rnacentral:rRNA from 1 species
UACGGGGGGGGCAAGCGUUGUUCGGAAUUACUGGGCGUAAAGCGUGCGUAGACGGUUACAUAAGUCGGGUGUGAAAUCCCCAGGCUCAACUUGGGAACUGCAUCCGAUACUGGAUGGCUUGAAUUCGGGAGAGGGAUGCAGAAUUCCAGGUGUAGCGGUGAAAUGCGUAGAUAUCUGGAGGAAUACCGGUGGCGAAGGCGGCAUCCUGGACCGACAUUGACGCUGAGGAGCGAAAGCUAGGGGAGCAAACGGG